UACGUAGGGUGCGAGCGUUGUCCGGAAUUAUUGGGCGUAAAGGGUUCGUAGGCGGUCUGUCACGUCGGGAGUGAAAACUCGGGGCUUAACUCCGAGCCUGCUUCUGAUACGGGCAGACUAGAGGUAUGCAGGGGAGAAUGGAAUUCCUGGUGUAGCGGUGAAAUGCGCAGAUAUCAGGAGGAACACCGGUGGCGAAGGCGGUUCUCUGGGCAUGACCUGACGCUGAGGAGCGAAAGUGUGGGGAGCGAACAGG
rnacentral:rRNA from 1 species